CCUACGCGCGGCUGCAGUGAGGAAUAUUGGUCAAUGGACGCAAGUCUGAACCAGCCAUGCCGCGUGCAGGAAGAAGGCUCUAUGAGUUGUAAACUUCUUUUGUACGAGGGUAAACGCACCUACGCGUAUCUGUCUGAAAGUAUCGUACGAAUAAGGAUCGGCUAACUCCGUGCCAGCAGCCGCGGUAAUACGGAGGAUUCAAGCGUUAUCCGGAUUUAUUGGGUUUAAAGGGUGCGUAGGCGGGCGGAUAAGUUAGAGGUGAAAUCCUGAGGCUCAACUUCGGAAUUGCCUCUGAUACUGUUCGUCUAGAGAGUAGUAGCGGUAGGCGGAAUGUGUGGUGUAGCGGUGAAAUGCUUAGAGAUCAUACAGAACACCGAUUGCGAAGGCAGCUUACC
rnacentral:rRNA from 1 species